CUACGGGGUGCAGCAGUGGGGAAUAUUGGACAAUGGGCGAAAGCCUGAUCCAGCCAUGCCGCGUGAGUGAUGAAGGCCUUCGGGUUGUAAAGCUCUUUUAUCCGGGAAGAUAAUGACUGUACCGGAAGAAUAAGCCCCGGCAAACUUCGUGCCAGCAGCCGCGGUAAUACGAAGGGGGCUAGCGUUGUUCGGAUUUACUGGGCGUAAAGCGCACGUAGGCGGCUUGUUAAGUCAGGGGUGAAAUCCCAGAGCUCAACUCUGGAACUGCCUUUGAUACUGGCUGGCUCGAGUAUGGUAGAGGUUGGUGGAACUCCGAGUGUAGAGGUGAAAUUCGUAGAUAUUCGGAAGAACACCAGUGGCGAAGGCGGCCAACUGGACCAUUACUGACGCUGAGGUGCGAAAGCGUGGGGAGCAAACAGGAUUAGAUACCCCCGUAGUC
rnacentral:rRNA from 1 species